AGCAGCCGCGGUAAUUCCAGCUCCAAUAGCGUAUAUUAAAGUUGUUGCAGUUAAAAAGCUCGUAGUUGAAUUUCGGGAUCAAUAUUUCGGUCAUGCCGUUGGUAUGCACUGUUAUCAUUGAUUUCUCACCUUCUAAAGAACCGUAAUGCCAUUAAUUUGGUGUUACGGGGAAUUAGGACUGUUACUUUGAAAAAUUAGAGUGUUUAAAGCAGGCUCACGCUUGAAUACAUUAGCAUGGAAUAAUGAAAUAGGACGUUGAUCCUAUUUUGUUGGUUUCUAGGAUUGACGUAAUGAUUAAUAGGGAUAGUUGGGGGCAUUAGUAUUCAAUUGUCAGAGGUGAAAUUCUUGGA
rnacentral:rRNA from 1 species